GACGAACGCUGGCGGCGUGCCUAAUACAUGCAAGUAGAACGCAGUUGCGAACGGGUGAGUACCGCGUAGGUAACUGCCUGGUAGCGGGGGAUAACUAUUGGAAACGCUAGCUAAUACCGCAUACUACCAGAUGGACCUGCGUUGUAUUUGCUAGUUGGUGAGGUAACGGCUCACCAAGGCAACGAUACAUAGCCGACCUGGGGGGGUGAUCGGCCACCCUGGGACUGAGACACGGCCCAGAGGCCUACGGAAGGCAGCAGUAGGGAAACGUCGGCAAUUGGGGGAACCCUGACCGGUCAACGCCGCGUGAGUGAAGAAGGUUUUCGGAUCGUAAAGCUCUGUUGUGAAGGAAGCGGUACUUAACCAGAAAGGGACGGCUAACUACGUGCCAGCAGCCGCGGUAAUUC
rnacentral:rRNA from 1 species